UAGCUUUGAGUUUCAAGCGAACCAGGAUAAAAAUACUUGUGUAUUUUAUCUCUUUGUUACUAUUGUGUUGGUGGUGUUCUUGUUUUUUGAAAAAACUUUUACUUGUAAAACCCAAUUCAAACCCCCCUUUCUUGUGUUUUUCACACCUUCAAUUAUGUUUCAUGAAGAGAUCUUAAUGCAUUUGUUUUUAAAAUCUACAAUCUCUAUUAAAGAUUAUUUAAAGUGUGAUUCAGUUUUGC
rnacentral:lncRNA from 1 species